AGAGAAAAAAAAGAAAACAUACACAGUUACACAGGCGAGAGCGAGGAUUCUAGAUAGGGACAGCAGUGAAAGUGCAGGCGAUGUUGAAACCGAAACCGAAACUGAUAAGAGACGCAAACUCUCCUGAUUCAGACCCUGAUCCGUCUUCAUCUUCAGCAUCAACCAGUGCGACUGACACUGCAGGGGUCUGGAGUCAUAACGGGACCAUUUCUGUGCAUUCGUGAAAACACUACCUGCUGACUUUGAGCUUGUCUGCGGAAUAAACCUCAAUUCAACAAGAUACACUGGUGUCCAGUGUCUAUUGUGCAACAGAACACAACGCAGUGCAGCCGGGCUAGGCAGAACGGACCGGUUACACAUGGACAACUGAGAAGAGAGAAGAUAAAUGAAUUGCUGGUGGGUCUGAGGAAACAACAGUCCAUUUUGACCUGGAGACAAGAGGCGUCUCACCGCGUCAGCGUCUUCAUCCUGUGUGUCGGGGUCAUGACCGCUAACAGUGUCUGCACUCUCCUAGAUUUCAACUCGCUCAGAAGAACGCUGAAACAUCUCUAAUCUAAAAAAGAGUCACUAAAACAUGAAAUGACUGCGUCUCUGUGUGGACGUGACUGACAGGCUGCAGCUCUGUACUCUGUGUGAAGUGAAAUAAAUGUGCUGCUGACAGUAACACAAGUCAGAGGAAGUUAAACAUCAGAGCAGAGAGCAUCAGUGGCUUCGUGUGGUCAAAGUGUGAAGACAAUUGCGCUGCAAUUCUCACGCUACUGUAGAUGUUCUUGUUAAAGUCUAGCAGUUAUAUACAUAUCAAAAUAACAUUUUUGUGUUAUAAUGAUGUGUACAUUGCACUAAUUCAUCACAUUUUUGAUCCUCAUAACAAUAUUACACAAAACGAUUAGACGUUUAUUUAAAAUGUUGUUUUUUUUAACCUGAAUCAUUUUUGAUAAGAAACUGAAACAGAAACACAAUCAUCAUCAAAAUACUGUCUUUUAUACUAUAUGUACAUAUUAUAUAUAUGUUCUCGAAUAUCCAUCUCUCUCCCUCUGUUACUGGUCUCUCUGUUUAGUCAGGGUUUUGUACCUGAUCUGUAACAGGUCUCUCUCUAUAGUCAGGGUGUUGUACCUGAAGAAGAAAAACAUAAAAAAGAGGAGAGAGCAAGAUGGAGAAGACAGCUAGUCACCCAGUUAUUCAAAAAACAAUGUGAUUUAUGUUCCCUGUUUUGUGCUAUGAUUCUGAAGCUAGCCGGUAUGAAGCUGUUAUUAUUAACAUCUAAUAGAAAUUCCAUCGAUUACUCCUCCCUUCGAUGUUUAUCCUUGGAAGUUGGAACACUUUGGAAUAUUUGCAAGAAUGUAGGCUAUGUUGGAAUGAAUGUAGGCUAAGGACGGAAAAGCACUAAGCGACGAUAAAACUAGUCCAGUGUUGGAUAUAUUCAAGCUUUCUGAAGCCUUGCAACAGCUUUCUGUGAGAAAUCAAUCGAAAUUAAAUGUAAUCAUAUAAAUCUGCGAUUACAUUUUGCAUGGCGUAAUAAUUGUCUAUCGUGAUUAUCAUAAAUUAAAUGAUGAUAAUUCCAACUGUUGUUGGAAAUCUCGAUUUUAUCAUAUUGUUUUUUCCCCACACUGUUUUAUAAAAAGCAAUAAGACACCCAAACGCACGCACUACAGCAAUGUUAUCACAGAUUUACUCCGCUUCCUUUAAUGCCUAAGAACACCCUUUCCAAUAAUGAAAUCACUGUAACACACACCCUCUUGUUGCUCAUCAUUGCAUUAUUUUAACCUUACAACAAAAACACGUUCUUUUCACAGAUACACCGUACAUUUGCAGAGCAUGAUCUGUCGUUCCAGCUGUUUCUUCAACCCUCAAUCUCGGCACAGUCCUCAUCGCUUGCAUUAUCCGGUUCUCCAACAGACCAGAACCUGAAACCCAGAGAAUCAGAAUCAGAUUAAACAGUGUUCAUUUGUCUUUACUUAUGCACCUUUAACUCAACCCUCUCAGUCUGGGUUCAUAAUCUCUUACGAAGUGGUCAGUGGUGUAUCGUCCACCCAUUUCCACACCCCCUCUGUGUCGCUGUCAGUCAGACCGAUCCAAGCCUGACUGCUGCUUGUAAGCUGUUUAAGAAUGAACUCCUGCAAAGCACAGCACAAACUAUAAAUAUAUGUGGGUUUCAUCUCUCUCUCUCUCUCUCUCUCUCUCUCCCUUUCUCACUCUCUCUCUCUCCCACUCUCUCACUCUCUCUUUUAAAAAAAAAAAAAAAAAAACAA